UACGUAGGGACCGAGCGUUGUCCGGAAUCAUUGGGCGUAAAGAGCGUGUAGGCGGCCACUUAAGUCCUGCGUGAAAUCUUGCGGCUCAACCGCAAGCGGUCGUGGGAAACUGGGAGGCUUGAGGCCGGUAGAGGUGGGUGGAACUCCUGGUGGAGUGGUGAAAUGCGUAGAGAUCAGGAAGAACACCCGUGGCGAAGGCGGCCCACUGGGCCGGUACUGACGCUGAGGCACGAAGGCGUGGGGAGCGAACGGG
rnacentral:rRNA from 1 species